rnacentral:rRNA from 1 species
GAUGAACGCUGGCGGCGUGCUUAACACAUGCAAGUCGAACGGAAAGGCCGAAGCUUGCUUCGGUACUCGAGUGGCGAACGGGUGAGUAACACGUGGGUGAUCUGCCCUGUACUUCGGGAUAAGCUUGGGAAACUGGGUCUAAUACCGGAUAUGACGAUCUCUUGGAUGGGGUUGUGGAAAGCUUUUGCGGUAUGGGAUGAGCUCGCGGCCUAUCAGCUUGUUGGUGGGGUAAUGGCCUACCAAGGCGUCGCCGGGUAGCCGGCCUGAGAGGGUGUACGGCCACAUUGGGACUGAGAGACGGCCCAGACUCCUACGGGAGGCAGCAGUGGGGAAUAUUGCACAAUGGGCGCAAGCCUGAUGCAGCGACGCCGCGUGGGGGAUGACGGCCUUCGGGUUGUAAACUCCUUUCGCAAUCGACGAAGCCUUUUGGUGACGGUAGGUUGAGAAGAAGCACCGGCUAACUACGUG